UUGAAUAAAUAGUACAACUGUCACAAACCAUGCACAACACUCCUGCUGUGAUUUUUAGCAAACAUAGCAUUGCAUUGUAACUUGCUUACAGUACACAACUCCUGUCACAAAGUUGGAUGUCUCCAGCAUAUGACAAGUCCAGAAUUUUAUCUGCAAGGCUGGUUUUUAGUAGUUAGAAAUCCAGAGUACACACUGUUAAAAACAGUAGAAAAAAAGUCUUAAAAAUUACAUUAAUAUUAAAAGCAAUGGGGUGUGGGUAAGAGGGGUAAGAAGCCCUAUGAAGUUUAAACCAAUUUUAAAAAAAUCUGCUACUCUUGGUUUUUCAUCUUGAGAAACAGGAUGCAGCUGAGGAGUAUCUGGGCUGCUUUGUGGUAGAAUAGCUCACUGGAAUGGAGUACGUCAAGCAGAUGCACCUAAAAGGCAAGUUGUACGGACUGGAAAAGACACACAUUCAUUAAUACUUAAAAAUGUGGAAAUUUUAAUGCUGCAGAGCAUUCAGCAUUCCAGAUGAACUCAACAGGGAAUGUAUCUAAAACUCCAGUAACACAAAGAGUUCGUGGAUAACUUUUUUAACAUUGACUUAUCUUUCUGAGAGGAAAAAAAAGUAUCAUGCAUAUGUAAGAGGAAGGCACGACAAAAGCAGGUGUUUAGAGAAGAUUUACCUAUGUUGCUCUUCCUGUCAACUGGACUGCUUGAAGCUCCAGUUCAGUUAAAUCCACCCUGCUCCGAGUCUGCUUAACAACAAAUACAGCAUCUACAGGAAGAGUGGCCUGGCUAGACAGCAAGGAGCUAAGGAAGGAAAAAUGUAUUUUCCCUAUGCAGCAUUUACCAAGAGACUUAAAAACAUAACAAAACAGGGUAUGACACCCGCCCCCAAUCUGUCCAGGGCAUCAAGCCUGCAGUCUUGACUGACAGGGAUGUUAAUCAAAGGAAUGCUAAAAGGGACCCAUGCCUCAUGUGGUAGAAGAGGGACUCAGGUUUCUGCAGACUGACCAGAAACACCUAAUUGAACAAAACACAGACUGUCCUAAAACUUAGUGGAAUGCUCACAUCUUCUCACGUGCAAUGAGGAUGCCAGCUGUAAAUCCCCGAUCUCAGAAGCAGCCAU